rnacentral:lncRNA from 1 species
CAGGGUGUACCGUCUGCACGAGCGCCUGGUAGCCAUCCGCACCGAGUACAACCUACGGCUGAAGGCAGGCAUGGCGGCCCCUGCAACCCAGGUGACCCAGGUGACUCUGCAGAGUGUGCAGAGGCGCCCCGAGCUGGAGGACUCCACUCUGCGCUACCUGCAGGACCUCCUGGCCUGGGUGGAGGAGAACCAGCACCGUGUGGAUGGCGCUGAGUGGGGUGUGGACCUGCCCAGCGUGGAGGCGCAGCUGGGCAGCCACCGAGGCCUGCACCAGUCCAUCGAAGAAUUCCGGGCCAAGAUCGAGCGGGCACGGAGUGACGAGGGCCAGCUCUCCCCUGCCACCCGGGGUGCCUACCGUGACUGCCUGGGUCGGCUG